GUGUGGCUGUAUCAGACAGACACCAAUGAAUAGUGUCUCCUCUUUUGGAAAUGAGAGAAGUGUCAAGCAGCAUAGUUUUGGGUAUUAUUUUAAUGUUUCAGUGAUUUCAAACAAUAUCAGUAAAGCCAACCAACAUAUGAAGACAAAGUAGGAUCCACUGGUCAAAGGUCUGAAUUGGUGCCAUAUGAUGAUGAAUUCCUAUACAAAGACACGGCAGGACCUGAUUAAGAGUUAAAAAAAGAAAAAAACCAGUUUGCUUUGGUAGACAGAAUAAAGGACCUGUUGCCACGUGCUCCCUGUACUAUUCAGCUAUAACCUGCA